rnacentral:rRNA from 1 species
AUGAACGCUGGCGGCGUGCUUAAUACAUGCAAGUCGAACGAAGACAGUAGCAAUAUUGUCUGAGUGGCGAACGGGUGAGUAACGCGUUGGUGACCUGCCCCGAAGAGAGGGAUAACAGUCCGAAAGGAUUGCUAAUACCCCAUGUGGUCAUUUGGAUUAGAUGCCUUAUGACUAAACGGAUUUAUUCGCUUCGGGAGGGGCCUGCGUCCCAUCAGCUAGUUGGUAAGGUAAUGGCUUACCAAGGCGAUGACGGGUAGGGGACCUGAGAGGGUGGCCCCCCACAAUGGAACUGAAACACGGUCCAUACACCUACGGGUGGCAGCAGUAGGGAAUAUUGGUUAAUCUGGGAAACCGGGAACCAGCAACGCCGCGUGCACGAUGAAGGCCUUCGGGUUGUAAAGUGCUUUUAUAUGUCAAGAAAAUGACGGUAGCAUAUGAAUAAGCACCGGCUAACUCCGU